rnacentral:ncRNA from 2 species
GUGUGAAGACACGGGAGUCCGGGGCGCCGGGCUGAGAGUGCGACGCGGACCGUCGCUGACCGUCUGACCUGAUCCGGGUAAUGCCGGCGAAGGGAUGCAUCGUGAGACGUGA